CUGGGUGCUCACAGUCCCGUCUCCGGAGUCACUCUGUCCAUCCUCGGUCUCUCACGAAGGGACGCUUCUGUGUCUGGCAGUCGCUUCUGGGGAGGAGAGAGGCAGGGAAGGUCACUGUCUUUAGGAUUGUCUUUAGAGCAACUGAAUUAGGGGGAGGUUCAGUGUAAGACAAUUUGGAUGUAAAGUGAAUGAGUUGCCUAGAGGCUGGAGAGCUGAAAAUGCAGGCAUGAGUACUGUUGAGGUUUUAUUGUUCAUCUUUGGAGACAAGGUUAUCAGCCCUGCAAGUGUGAGACUUUCUUUUGGGAGAGAGGGGUCCAGUGCAGCAGUAGGGUAGAGCAUAGUGAACAGCUCUGUCAGUGGACUUGCUUUGCACCUCUGUAGCAGCCACCAAGGAACCUUUUUUUCCAUUUCUGUAAGGGGAUGCUCAUAGCAGAGUGAUUCUUCAGUGUUGAGUGUAUGUGUGUGUGUGUGUGUGUGUGUGUCCACCCCCUUUUUGUCUAGCGCCCUAUAUCCUCCUCCCUGAGUUGGGGUAGGGAAUCUAGAAAGGACAAAUAGUUGUAGGUAUUGCAGGUUUGUUCCCCUCAGCCCCGUUUUUUUUAUGGAGCACUUACCCUAGAGACCUCUUGUUAACUGGGUGGAGGCCUUAGGAAGCCUAGGGGUGGGGGAGAGAAGAAUGGGGAAUGCCAGGUGCCUGAAGGGGUCAUCUCGUGCGUCUUCAACAGUUGGUCGAUAUGGGGGGCCAGAGGUGGAGGAAUGUGUCGUUUUAGAGAAACUGACUUUGCAUUUCUUCCCAUUUCCUUCUGAGCCUCCAGAAGUAACCCCCGGGCUUGGACCUUCCAGCUUUUGUGGCAAAGAGGAAAGUCGGUGUGAAUCGGGCCCUGGGACCAUCUGAAACAUCUCCUGGCAGUGGAUGUCAACCAGGUGUCUUUCCAGCCCCGAGGACAAUCCCUCUGCUGUUCUGGACCAUCCCGUUAAAUCUCAGAUCUGCCCUGCCAUUGAGAUGUAGCUGCGGGCUGUACUGCUCCCUCCAAGGGAAGCCCUCAGGAGCACUAUGGGAUCUCCUCCACGUCUGCCCUGAUGCCACCGAGCCCUGUUGUGAGGGAAUGGGGGCCUCUGGACCGUUAUGAAGAUCUCAACAGCCCCCAGGAGCACGAUCAGAUCCUCUCCAUGUUUGCUGACAGGCCACAGAGUGCUGCUGUGGGGGAAUCUGGGCCCUAGGACCCCUUCCACCUUCUUGCA